UACAGAGGGGGCAAGCGUUAUUCGGAAUUAUUGGGCGUAAAGAGCGUGUAGGCUGUUCGGUAAGUCUGCCGUGAAAACCUGAGGCUCAACCUCGGGCGUGCGGUGGAUACUGCCGGGCUAGAGGACGGUAGAGGCGAGUGGAAUUCCCGGUGUAGCGGUGAAAUGCGCAGAUAUCGGGAGGAGCACCAGUAGCGAAGGCGGCUCGCUGGGCCGUUCCUGACGCUGAGACGCGAAAGCUAGGGGAGCGAACAGG
rnacentral:rRNA from 1 species